rnacentral:tRNA from 1 species
GGUCCCAUCGUCUAGUGGCCGAGGACACCACCCUCUCAAGGUGGAGACACGGGUUCAAAUCCCGUUGGGACUACCC